rnacentral:rRNA from 1 species
GAUGAACGCUGGCGGCGUGCCUAAUACAUGCAAGUCGAGCGAACGGACGAGAAGCUUGCUUCUCUGAUGUUAGCGGCGGACGGGUGAGUAACACGUGGAUAACCUACCUAUAAGACUGGGAUAACUUCGGGAAACCGAAGCUAAUACCUGAUGAUAUUUUGAACCGCAUGGUUCAAAAGUGAAAGACGGUCUUGCUGUCACUUAUAGAUGGAUCCGCGCUGCAUUAGCUAGUUGGUAAGGUAACGGCUUACCAAGGCAACGAUGCAUAGCCGACCUGAGAGGGUGAUCGGCCACACUGGAACUGAGACACGGUCCAGACUCCUACGGGAGGCAGCAGUAGGGAAUCUUCCGCAAUGGGCGAAAGCCUGACGGAGCAACGCCGCGUGAGUGAUGAAGGUCUUCGGAUCGUAAAACUCUGUUAUUAGGGAAGAACAUAUGUGUAAGUAACUGUGCACAUCUUGACGGUACCUAAUCAGAAAGCCACGGCUAACUACGUG